AUGGUUAGAGAAGACCUACCAAAUCAGAAACGUAUUGGAAACUCCUGGUCUGCUUGCCAUCGCCGUAAACCGUCAAAGGCUCCUUCCUUAGCGCCUGCCACCCUGAGCAACAAAGUUGCUGACAACACGGCCAUCGUCAAUGCACAUGCGUGGGCCAUAGGUGUUAAAGAUCCGAGCAAUCCUAACCUGAACAGUGAAUACAACAAACUCAAGGUUGGCACCACGGUGGUAGUCCAUGGUCAAGGUUUCAGCUGUACGCUUGCCCUCGUCGUAGCAACUCCUGACACCUGUUGUCCAGAGAAACAUACAUACAUACACAUCAGUGGAGAAUGA
rnacentral:rRNA from 1 species